CACGUGGAAGCUUUACUUUUGCUUUCAUUUUACUUUCGCUUUUGCUCUAAUAAAUCUUGCCACCGCACCCUCUUUGGGUCGGCGGGUUUCUCUAAUCUAGCUGUAACACUCGCCACUGCAGCCCACGGCUUCAUUCCUGGAAGCCCGUGAGACCAGGAACCCUUCGAUCGAGAAAAGACCUUCCAUUGGGAGAAGACUUCUCGUCUUAUUUCCACCUAUAAUCUCUUCAAAACAUAGCAGUCAGAGUUAUCUGCUGAACUUAUAAGUCACUCAUCUGCUCAAAGCCUCCCAGUGGCUUCUCAUCUCACAGAAUCCAAGUCGACCUUCCUGGAGCCUCUAUCUACUACUUGUUUUGCUCAACAAGAACACACAUCGUGUUGACUCCAUCUUUUAUAUGAUGCCUCACCACAAUGUUCCAUUGGCCAGUGCAAGAGAAACCAGGAUGCUUCCUCAUACUGCACAUCUUUAUCUGAGAACCAAAGGACAAAUAUGGGUGUCACAUGCCAGCUCCUUCUACCUCCUUCUGAAACCAGAGGACUGGAUUGGAACCAACAGAGAUCAUGCUGUUUACUUCACAGAUUUCAAGAAAAGUGAAUUCUGAAUAAUCAUUUUUUUUUAGAUCUUCCUAUGUGUAAAAAUCUUUGGUGAGAUUUACCAUCUCAUUUAAAGUUCUUUCACAAUUUUCGUGAAAAUUGAGUGAUGUGUAAUAAAUAAGUUAUUUUUUUCCUUUAUAGCUGAUGCUUGACCUUUUUUCCCUUGGUAAUAUAGCUUAUGAAGCAGAUAUAUAUGCCAAUACACCCUUGAUUUUAAGUCUUUCAAAUAGAAGAACAUAGGGAUAAACUGACACAUGAGAGAUGGAUAAAUGUAUGGACACAUACAUGUUCAACAGUUGUUGUUUUGGGGAUUAUGCCACAGAGUCAUCAAAUGCUGUCUAACACUAAAUUAGAUUUUCCUGUGAGGUGGUAAGCAACCUGUUGUGGGAAGUAAUCAAGCAGGGACUAGAUAUCCAUCUAUCAGAAAAAAUGAAUUUCUAGAGAGAUAUGGCAUAGCCUUUCUAAAUUUAAGGUUCCAUGAGUGUAGAGAAAUGAGGAUAAUGGCUGUUAAUGGUUAGUGUUUACCUUAGGAAAGCCACCAAUCUAAGUAUUCUAUCUGCACUAACUCAUUUAAUCCAGAAAGAGAUGGCUCCUAUAAGGGAAUUUUAACAAUACUCUGCCUUUCUGCAAAGAAAGUGCCAAGUGAGAAAGUUGUAUUGUUGAUAUACACACAUAUUCACAAAAGACCGCUAUAUAGGGAAUAAGCUUUUGCAAAUAAACACACUAAUCCCUCUAAAUCAGUGAGCAGUAUUUCUAAACCAGGAGAUUUAAUCUUCUGAAAUUACAUGAAAAAUAUUGUAUUUAUGUGCCCAUUUCUGGAGAAAGGUGACAAUUGCCCUCAUCAGCUUUGCCCUCAAAGGUCAAAAUAAUAAUAAUUAUAAAAAACUUUAAAGCUUACCCAGAAACAGAUGUAUUUCACAAGGUCAAUGUAUUAUAUAUUUCAAAAUAACUAAAGAAUAUGAUUUUAAAUGUUCUCACCACAAAGAAAUGAUAAAUAUUUGAGGUGAUAGAUACACUUAUUCGCCUGAUUUGAUCAUUCCACAAUUUAUGCGUGUAUUGAAACAUCACAUUGUGACCCAAAUAUGUAUAGAAUAAUUGUUUAUCAAUUCAAAAUAAAACUGUUUUUAAAAGUGCUUGGCAUAUAUCCUCAAAUGCUGCAGGAGCUAUGGGUUUUACAUGUUAUUUGGAAAGUGAUGGAGUAUGAGAAGUCACUGAAGCAGGUCAUUUACUUCUGAGUGUUGAUGGUCAAAGAUUGGUAGAUGCUGGGCUUUCCUUCUUCUGUCUGCCCAUGUACUUGGCCUAGCUUCACUAUUUGGGACUUGCAUUCUCUGAACAAGUGACUGUUCUUCAGUGAGCUGUCAGGAAAAUGGGGUUGCAGUAAUACUGGCUCUAUCUACUUUUUGUAAGGACCACAUUGAAAGUAAAAAGCUUAGUAAAAUGCUAGGAAGACAGCUAAGCAUUGAACAAAUAUGAUUCCUUUGGGGAUUUAUCUAUGCACAAUUUCAAAAAUAGAGGCAAUAUGAGCAAGUUCAGAGGCAAAGCACAGAAUAGCUUGGCGCCUAACUAGAAGCACUUCCUGUAACCUGCUGCCGUAUUUCAAGGUGCCACCCACCCAUGCUUCCUUCUGGGGAGUUCCUGUACAGAUCCCCUAGUGUCCUAAGCAGCUGUGCUCUGGCCAGUGCAUUUUUUUCCCAGCUCUUGUCUCAGCUGAGUACUGGUGGUGAGCUCCUGAUAUGGUUUGGCUGUGUCCCCACCAAAAUCUCAUCAUGAAUUCCCACAUGUCGUGGGAGGGACUUGGUGGGAGGUAAUUGAAUCAUGGGGGCAGAUCUUCCCGUACUGUUCUCUUGAUAGUGAAUUAGUUUCAUGAGAUUUUUCCCUGCACAAGCUCUCUCUUUGCCUGCUGCCAUCCAUGUGAGAUAUGCCUUUCACCUUCCACCAUGACUGUGAGGCCUCCCCAGCCAUGUGGAACUGUAAGCCCAAUAAACCUCUUUCUUUUGUAAAUUGCCCAGUCUCAGGUAUGUCUUUAUCAGCAGUGUGAAAAUGAACUAACAGAGUAAAUUGGUACCAGUAGAGUGGGGUGCUGCUGAAAAGAUACCCAAAAAUGUGGAAGCGACUUUGGAACUAAGUAACAGGCAGAGGUUGGAACAGUUUGGAGGGCUCAGAAGAAGGCAAAAAAUGUAGGAAAGUUUCGAACUCCCUAGAGGCUUGUUGAAUGGCUUUGACCAAAAUACUGAUAAUGAUACAGACAAUGAAAUCCAGGCUGAGGUGGUCUCAGAUGGAGAUGAAGAACUUGUCGGGAACUGGAGUAAAGGUGACUCUUGCUAUGUUUUAGCAAAGAGACUAGCAGCAUUUUGUCCCUGCCCUAGAGAUUUGUGGAACUUGGAACUUGAGAGAGAUGAUUUAGGGUAUCUGGCACAAGAAAUUUCUAAGCAGUGAAGCAUUCAAGAGGUGACUUGGGUGUUGUUAAAAGCACUAAGUUUUAAAAGAGAAACAGAGCAUAAAAGUUGGGAAAAUUUGCAGCCUGACACUGCCAUAGAAAAAAUAUCCCAUUUUCUGAGGAGAAAUUCAAGCCAGCUGCAGAAAUUUGCAUAAGUAACAAGGAGCCAAAUGUUAAUCACCAAGACAAUGAGGAAAAUGUCCCCAGCGCGUGUCAGAGGUCUUCAUGGCAGCCCCUCCCAUCACAGGCUCAGAGGCCUAAGAGCAAAAUAUGGUUUCGUCCACAGCCUGGCCCAGGGUCCCCAUGCUGUGUGCAGCCUAGGGACUUGGUGACCUGCUUCCCAGCCACUCCAUCCAUGGAUGAAAGGGGACAACAUGUAGCUCAAGCCGUGACUUCAGAGGGGUCAAGCCCCAAACCUUGGCAGCUUCCACAUGGUAUUGAGCCUGCGGGUGCACAGAAGUCAAGAAUUGGGGUUAGGGAACACCAGUGUAUGGAAAUGCCUGGAUGCCCAGGCAGAAGUUUGAUGCAGAGGCAGGCCCCUCAUGGAGAAUCUCUGCUAGAGCACUGCAGAAGGGAAAUGUGGAGUUGGAGCCUCCACACAGAGUCCCUCCUGGGGCACUGCCUAGUGGAGCUGUGAGAAGAGGGCCACUGUCCUCCCGACUCCAGAAUGGUAGAUCCACCAACAGCUUGCACCAUGCACCUGGAAAAGCCACAGAUACUCAGUGCUAGCGCAUGAAAGCAGCCAGGAAGGAAGCUGUACCCUGCAAAGCCACAGGGACAGAGCUGCCCAAGACUAUGGGAACCCAUUUCUUACAUAAGCAUGACCUGGAUGUGAGACAUGGAAUCAAAAGAGAUCAUUUUGAAGCCUUAAGAUUUGACUGCCCCACUGGAUUUCAGACUUGCCCAGGGCCUGUAGCCCCUUUGUUUUGGCCAAUUUCUCCCAUUUGAAAUGGCUGUAUUUACCCAAUGCCUGUACCCACAUUGUAUCUAGGAAGUAACUAACUUGCUUUUGAUUUUACAGGCUCAUAGGCAAAAGGGACUUGCCUUAUCUUGGAUGAGACUUUGGACUGUGGACUUCUGAGUUAAUGCUGAAAUGAGUUAAAACUUUGGGGGAUAGUUGGGAACUGUAAGACCAAUAAGUUUGUUUUGUAAAUUGUCCAGUCUUGGGUAUGUCUUUAUCAGCAGUGUGAAAACGGACAAAUAUAGCUCCUAACACUUUAAGAGUUAGCAAUGAGUGGGAGAGGCCAAAAAGAGAGUUACAAAGCUAGAGAGGAGGCAAGGGCAGCCUUUAUGUGCUUUACGUAAGGUAAAAUGAGAAUUCCAUCCAGCAGCGAGAGAGCAGAGUCGUGCAGUCAAAGAAAAACAGAAAGGUAAUGGUCCUAGUCCAUGAGAAGGAAAUACAGCAUCCUUAGCUUUUCAGAACUGCUGUAUUAAAGCCCUCUGUCUCUUCAAAAUAACCCUAAUUUUUUGAGCUAGUGAGUUGGAACUCUGUGCCAUGAUUUAGGUAUAACCUGAGUGCCAGUGAGCUCAGAGUACAGAGCAGUGAACACUGCUAUAGAGUCCCUCCUACAAAGGGUGCUGACUAAAUAACUCAGAAGCCACUAUCAGUGGGGCUUUACUGAGGUAGGAGCAGGUAAUUUGUGCAGGACAUAUAAUUAGUCUGAAAUAUUGGGUCCUUUCUUCAUCACGCCCCUCUUGGGAUAUUCCUUUAAACUAUUACUUACUGUUAAGCUCAUCUGUAUAAGAGACCACCUGAGCAGGCUUAGUAUGAGCAACAAGGCUGUUUAUUCACUUGGGUGCAAGUGGGCUGAGUCCGAGAAAGGAGUCAGCGAAGGGUGGUGGGAGUGGAACAGGUUUCAUUGGUUUGGGGUAGGUAGUGGAAAGUUACAGUUAGGGGCAGUUUUUUCGGGCAGGGGAAGAAUGUCACAAAGUACAUAGUCACGAGGUGGGGAGAGGUCACAAGGCACGAUAUCACAAGGUCGAUCGAUUAGUUAGGGUAGGGCAGGAGCAUAUCACAAUGAUGGCAUGUUGUAAGGUUGGUUAAUCAAUUAAGACAGGAACCAGCUGUUUCUUCUUCUUUAGUGGAUCUCCUGUUGCUCCAGGCUUUGUGACUCCAGGAGGC